CCGAGUUUAGACUCCCAAACCCCGUGAGAACCCUACUCCGUUGCCUCGGCGGGACCGCCCCGGCGCCCACAGCGGCCCGGACACAGGCGCCCGCCGGAGGGCCCCGAGACUCAGCUCUGUCAGCGGCAUGUCGGCGUACAACUACAGAAAUGAAUCA
rnacentral:misc_RNA from 1 species